UGUCGCACCCACGGAAUUGUGUAUUUAGCUAGAGUCAGAGCCGAUAAUGGACAAGAAGAGAGCUACGUGGGACUAGCAGACACCGAGUUCAAAUUAAGAUACGCCAACCACACUCAUUCAUUCCGUAAUUCCACGAAAAAGAAUACCACCGAGCUCAGCAAAUUCAUAUGGACAUUGAAAGACAAAAAUAUUGACUACAAAAUCAAGUGGGAAAUUUUAGGAAAAACAUCAUCAUACUCAAACAUUUCAAAAAAGUGCAACCUCUGUAUUCUAGAGAAAUUCUUUAUAAUAUGUCAUCCCGAAAAAUCUUCAUUGAAUAAGCGUUCAGAACUUGUCAGCACUUGCCGUCAUUCCCAUAAAUUUCUAUUUACUCAAUCCUGUGUGUAAUCAUGCUUAGCAACUAUCCAGUAUGUUUCUGUGUAACAUAUUCUCAGCCACGCGGAUGUUUUUCGUUAGAUGUCAUUUUUCUCCCGACGAGUGAGGGGAAACCAUCCCCUCACGAAACAGCCUGUAGAGAAAUAAAUGUUAUGUGAUUGAACUCCAUCUGAUCGUCAAUUUAUAUAUAUAUAUAUAUAUAUAUAUAUAUAUAUAUAUAUACGAAAAUCCCGCAUAAAGUCAACACGAGGCCUGAUAUUCACCAGCAGAAAGUCGACACGGGAUAAGGUCAACACAUUCGUGUCGACUUUGUACGUUGCACUUUUUUAAAUGGCUAUAACUUUUAGAUUACUCUAUGAAUGGCCAUUUCAUUAUCAUUCUAUAAAAAUUCAAUGUUUCUAGGACUAUUUAAACAUAAAUUUAGUGGAUAAAGGUCUUGUUUUAACGAGUAUCGAUCAUUUAUAAAGAGGACCCUUUUUCAAAGUAUAUAUAUCCACCUGAGAAUCUCAGAUACAAAGUCGACACACCGGUUUUUUGGCUUUAUCUUUUUAAAAGUAGGUAUAUAUAGAAAAACGAAAGAGUGCAUGAGGUUACGGAUUGUUUCAUUUAAAAGUUCUGAUCUUAUCUCCGGGAUUUCUGCAGAAGAUAUUUAGUUAUCGAUGAUUUUCUAUCGCCGAGGCUACAAAAAUCGGCAAUCUGAACAAUAUAUAUACUUUGUGACGUCAGUCACUCAUUUCGGAGAGAAAAUAAUGGCGGACAGUGUUCGCUUCGAAUGAAAUUAUCUGUAUUUCUUUGGUUUUGUGGAGCAUUUAGGAUUAUUUAAACACAACAAUAUAAUGGAUGUACAGGCCAUCGUUGCAGUUCCCUUCCUUGAAGACUCUGUGGUGAUUGAUUGAAGUAUAUGAUCAGUCUUGACAAUCAAAACCAUGCUGAUCUUGUACUACUUUCUGUUGCUACUUUUAAUCAUCAUCUUAUCCACAAGAACGUUUUUUGUUAAACUGUUAUUUUAAUAAAAAAUAAAAAUCUGAUGAUCAA